ACUUUCUGAAGAUAGCGCGCGUUUGUAGUGCUUCCUGAGCGUGUCUGGUGUUCCUUCCUUAUAAUACAUAUUGCAGGGAUCCCAAUUUGUUUGAAAUAUUAUUAGCGGUAGCUUCGCGGUGCUUAGGAAAGGUGAAGGUGGAGGGAGGGUGUGGAACGGCAGAGGAGUGUGUAGGAGUAUAGAUGCAGAAAGCUGGCCCCUGUGCAGCUUGAUCGUCCCGCGCCCCGUUGCGUCACUCGGCGGCGAUUAGCCAUGGUGGUGGAGUACACCAAGGGGCUCGGUGCUACCCGCUUCUGCGUGUUGUGGCGUCUGUUGUUCAGAUGGCGAGGCAGUGUGUACAAGCUGCUGUGGCAGGACCUCCUUGUGUACGCCGUGCUGUACGCCUCGCUCUCCUGCCUGUACCGCUUUUACCUCCACGGCUCGCAGAAAAGGCUGUUUGAGGAGGUGGUGCUGCAGAGCAACAAGUACCGUGACCUGGUGCCCGUGAGCUUCCUGCUGGGCGUGUACGUGAGCGUCGCUCUGUUGCGAUGCUGGGCCGUCUGCCUCGCCCUACCCAACAACGCCGCCGCCGCCAUGCUGCUCUCCACCUACAUCCCCAGAGACGGCAGCAGAGCAUUUGAGAUCAAGACGCGGGUGGUGCGCUACAUCAACCUCACCUACGCGCUAGUCUUCUCACAAGUCUCCGCCGCCGUCCAUCUGACCUACCCAGACCUGCAGGCUCUCGUUGACCACCAUUUCCUCACCGUCCGAGAAAAAGAGGUGUUGGAGGAGGCCGAGGGGCGUGGCUGCUCUAGUGUCAAGUGGCUACCACUCACAUGGUCCUGCCAGCUGGUGCAGAGUGCCAGAGACGAAGGCUUCAUUGACACGGAAGCUUCCAAGGAAGCUUUGCUGAAGGAACUGCUAGAUAUACAGCGGCAAUGCUGCACUCUUCUGGAAUGGCACCAGUACAACGUGCCUCUCGUCUACACUCAGGUGGUGACAAUCGCGGUGUACACGUACUUCCUGUUCUCCGUGUUGAGCGAGCAGUACCUGGACGCGACGCUCCGCCACCCCCGCAACGAGGCCGACCUGGUGGUGCCAGCCUUCGCCCUGCUGGAGCUGGUCAUGUAUCUGGGGCUCCUCAAGGUAGCCGAGACGCUCAUCAACCCCUUCGGCGUCGAUGACAACUCCUUCGACUUCCUUAAGUUUAUUCGAGACGCUCGCCUGAGGUCGUGCAACACCCUUGGCCGGAACCUCAUUAGACCGCUUACAAGCACAACAGCAGCACCGCGAUGUCAGCCCGAAGAUACAUCAGUAAAACUUGUCUGCGGGAAGCAUGAGCAGCACCGCGCCUCCAGCAGGGGAGCGGAGCAUGAACUCUUAGUAUUUCCUCCGCUCCCCGCACCUCCUUCAUUGAUAUUUCAGCGCCAUCUCGCCUCGACCCGGCACUUCGACACCAGGAGGCAGCGUCAUUGAAGGUGGGGUUUUGAAUUCCGCCCGGCACUUUAGCUGCACAUGGAAGCCAAGUCUGAAUGGGAUGUGACUCGCGUGCAUGAAGUGGAGCCCCGCACGCAGCAAGAGUUCUCAGGCUUCCAGUGUUCCCAUCAUGUGAUCUUGUGUAGCCCUUUCUUCCGCCUCCUCCGGCCCAGCAAAGAGCCGCGAGGGAUCUGAAUAAUCCAUUGUUUAGUCCGGCUGUCCCGGCCUGAGCUGCGUCAUCGGCCGCCGAAGCGUGAGGGAGGACCAACGGUGUCAAGGAACGUGUAAAACAGAAGGAACAAGUGCAAAAGGAAGAGAGAAAAAAAGAAUGGAAAAAAAAGAAAGGACAGCAGAAAAGGAUAAAAGAAAGAAAGAAAGGAAAAAUGUUAAAGCAAAAGGAAAAAGAAAGCAAAAAGAAAGAACCAGAGCAAAAGGAAACAUGCAUACUGAUGAAGGGAAGAGCAUUGUGUGCUGUGCUGUUGUCAAGAAAAAAAUAUCGGAAACAUUAUCACUGAAGAAGACUGUGAUUUAUGUGACACUGAAGUAAAAAAAAAAAUGGAAAAACCCAGGAGAAAAAAACUAAGAUGGCACUCGCCGACAACUAGCAUUUGAUAAGUAGUACACAAAAUUAUCAACCCGUCUUACUCAUGUCCCUCAAGGAAAAUGCACGGAACCUUAUUAUCAGGGAACUUGAACCCCGACCAGUGACGGCUGCCUGUGAACACUGAGGCAACCCUGGUAUGCGAACACUUCUCUCCGGACGCGGCGCUCAUGUUUUAUAUCUCCCUGGCUCCACGUGCGGGGCGCUGGGAAGGGCACACUCGGGGAUAACGCGCCGGGCUGC